UCUAAUACCGGAUACGAGCCUCCAAGGCAUCUUGGAGGUUGGAAAGCUCCGGCGGUGAAGGAUGAGCCCGCGGCCUAUCAGCUUGUUGGUGAGGUAAUGGCUCACCAAGGCGACGACGGGUAGCCGGCCUGAGAGGGCGACCGGCCACACUGGGACUGAGACACGGCCCAGACUCCUACGGGAGGCAGCAGUGGGGAAUAUUGCACAAUGGGCGAAAGCCUGAUGCAGCGACGCCGCGUGAGGGAUGACGGCCUUCGGGUUGUAAACCUCUUUCAGCAGGGAAGAAGCGAAAGUGACGGUACCUG
rnacentral:rRNA from 1 species